rnacentral:rRNA from 1 species
UACGUAGGGUGCAAGAGUUAUCCGGAAUUAUUGGGCGUAAAGAGCUCGUAGGCGGUUUGUCGCGUCUGCUGUGAAAACUGGAGGCUCAACCUCCAGCCUGCAGUGGGUACGGGCAGACUAGAGUGCGGUAGGGGAGAUUGGAAUUCCUGAUGUAGCGGUGGAAUGCGCAGAUAUCAGGAGGAACACCGAUGGCGAAGGCAGAUCUCUGGGCCGUAACUGACGCUGAGGAGCGAAAGCAUGGGGAGCGAACAGG